rnacentral:lncRNA from 9 species
AGUGCCCUUCAGCAUAAGACAAAAAUAAAGCUGCAUUCUAGGGUAAGAGAAAAGGUGUGAUAUGGUACGAAAAUGUCACACAUGUUAAAUUAUUUGGCCUCGCAUGGUCUUAGGAGUAAAUGUACUUUAAGCCACCUAACAACUAGAGUAAGGGACUUUAAAUUGCAAGGGUUUCAAGAGAACAAUUUCAUAAUAAAUAUGUCUGGGGAUGAAGGGUAACUUGGCCAAAGGCACAAAUUAUAGGCAAAAUUGGAUCAAGCCCAGAUCUCUUAACCCUCAGUACAGGCUUCUAGCCACUGUUUCAUGAGGCACUAUUGUUGAGAUUUCUGGCCUCUUUUUUUUUUUUCCCCAGUGAUUUUUCUCUGUUUUGAAUUCUCCCUUCACAUUCUGAGAACCACAUACCAGAGGGUCCUUGCCCUCUUGAAAUCGUCUCUCCCACCAAGGGCCAUGAUGACAUUGAGUCUGAGGACACCUGGCCCUGUGAAAAGGGAAGAUUUGAGACCAAAACAGGACAAGGGUAACCAAUUGAGAGUGAAGAAGAAGUGGAGGUAUAUCAGAAGCAUAAUUUCACCUUGCCUUUUGAGGCUCUUGAAAAAUGGAACUGCAAAGAAGUCUUACCUGGCAAUAUCAUUGCCUAUUUGGUUUCCAACAUGUCCUGUUGGGCAGAAUUCUCAUAUUUGGAGAAGCAGCUUUAGUUGUGUUUAUACUAAAGAAAGGCAACAAAGUAACUCUUUCACUAUUCUUUCUAGUACUAGAAUUCUUAGCAUAAGGGCUUUGUGACACUUUGCCCUCCAUGCACCCUGUGCUGGGAUAGCAGGACGCUUGCCUAAUGAAACCUUCAAAACAAAGCCUUCAUUUUAAGUAAGGACAAAGAAAGACCCAUAUGCAUUGAGUGUGGUAAUGAUCAGAUUUUACUGGUCAAUAAACUCCCAAUAAAAUACAUCUUUAUUUUUGUUCUGGGAGGAAAUAUGAAAGGACAUACUGCUGCGAUGCUCUGGAAUUCUAGUAAGGACUGUGUCACCUUGCAGGAGUAUUUGUUUCCUCUGUAGACCACUGCCCUGCAGUAGGGAUAGUGGCACUUUCUUCAUGCUGCAAGGGACCAGAGACAAAACUGAAGUCUUAAAGUUCUGUUGUUAAGGUGGGGGAGUCUCAGAAAUUUCUUCUGGUGGGCACACAAGGCCAACCUGAUAUUUUCCAGGUUUUCCCUUAAGAUUUUUUACUCUUUUAGCUAUGAUUUGGCCUGGCUUACUUGCAGGUUGGUCAAGUCUUCCAGAACCCCACAUUAUUUGUGGGGCCCAGUGAAAGAGGGAUAUGCUGGACUUUUGUUAAAAAUAUACUUUCAAUAUAGUGUCAGCAGAGUGUAAGCUAAGCCUGAAUUCUUUUGGGCACAGGGUUUUUUGUGAUUGCACAGGUCUUGUGCCCAUGAAACCCACCCUAUCCCUCCUACCUGAAGGCACUUCUCAUGGUAAACAUUCCAGAUAAUACACUGAAAUAUCUCCAUCUCAUUCAUCUUUAUAGUCCAGGAGAGCUGGUCAAUGUCUCAAUCAUAAGGUGGGGUUAAUGAAUACUUAGAAAUACCUGCUUCUCUCUGAGGUCAUGCCAUGUGCCCUGGAAUGAAUGCUGUCUCUUCAGUAAUGGCUCCAUCAUCCUCCUUGCUUCCUUCCUCACACACAUUCUCUAACUACUCCCCACACUCCUCUUACACUCCCUCAUGACCACACAUUCAAGAGUCUUGCCAGUUGUUGCCCUCCUUUUCCUCCUCCUCCACGCUGUCCUUGGUGGUGCUUUCUUCUGUUUCUGCAGGAAUCUGCCAAGUUCUGGUGGAUGUGCAGCGCUGAGUGUGAUUGUUCUUAGUCAUGCUAGAUGUUAGAAGCUUGAUGUGGGCUUUUGGGUCAUUUACCAGAAGAUGGUAUUCUGAGCCUUGAGAUGGGGGGCUACCUGUAAAGAAACUUGGCCACUGUGACCUGGCCUUCCCCAUUCUAGGAUAUCACAAAGUCCAUGUGAGGUCAGCAAUCAAAUUUACAUAAGGGCUGAGCAGUGGAACCCUGGAUGACUUCCUUCAACUUUAAUUCAGACUAACUUUCUGGAUCUAAG